UCAUCAUGUUCACUGUUAUACUGAUGUGCCUGUGGCUUUCACUAAUUGACUCCAUGGCAGAUCCAAUAAAGCCACUUUUCACUCAUAAAGUUGUAGAUGAAGGUGGUGGUGUUACUCUGUCCUGCAGCUACAAAGACGUCAGUACCGUACAGAAUCUGUUCUGGUACAGACAGUAUCCAAAAUCUAAUCCUGAGCUUCUUCUUUACAUCUUUCCAAGUGGAGAAAAAAGUAACCCUCUUCCACCAUGUCUGGAUGCUAAAGUUGAUGAUAAAAAUAAAAAACAAGUGCAUCUGAUCAUCUCCUCUGCUGCUGUAUCAGACUCUGCUCUAUACUACUGUGCUCUGGUGCCCACAGUGAGAGGAAAUCCAACUGCACUGUACAAAAACUAA